UUGGAAAGCAGUUUGUUUGAGGCUCCCAAGAAAAUUAAGAAAGAGCCACGGAAUCAGGUCUUGAUGCUGGUGUUGGCAGAACCCCUGACUCACUGGCCUCUCAUACCAAGACACCUGGCAUGCACACCACUAACUGAAUACCCAGAAAUAAAGAUCUGUUGAUUGAGGCACCAGUCAGUGGCUGCUUUGUGAUGGCAGCCCCAGCUAAGAAACUAGAGAAACGUAUAAUCUGGCAGCUCUAGGUGGUGGCACUGUUCAUGCUUCAUUGAAAGAGAUGUGGUUGGACCCGUGCUCCCAGGGGCGCCUGAUGGGAGACCAGUCAGCAAGCGAGAGUGGCAGAAGUGAGGAGCCUAUGUGGGCCCAACCCCCCAUCCCCUGGAUCUGGAACCACAGCCCAGAGAGGUGAAGUGACUUGCCCUCACAUUUGCUCACAUAGAAACUCUCAUUUGGUUCUUUUCUAAAAAAAUAAAUCCAUUAAAUCAGCUAAGCUUUAAAAUAUACCCAACCCUAGUUAAGGAUAAGUUUUUAGGUUAAAAAAAAAAAGGUCUAGGGAGUCAUUCAUUGUUUUUCUCUUUUAUACUGAACUCCUGAAGGUUUGAGCUCAUGAUUGGCAGGCAGCAUUGGAAACUGAAGAGCAGAGGCGGGUGGGUCUGGCAGGGCCAGUGACGGGGCCUCAUCAAGGUUGCUUGCUCAUCUGUAAACUGGGGAGAAGUCACACAAGGGUCAGAGCGAGGGUCCCCUGUUAGGGAGGGUUUGUUCAGAGGCACUGUUUGUCUCUUCUACUUUGAGACACAUAAUCAAAUUCGUUUCUUAAAGGGCUGUUUCUGACCCUGGGAGUCCAUGAAGCAGAUGUUAUCCAAGCCCAAGCAGGAGAUAGCUGUGCCAGAGAACUGAGCCCCCCACUUCAGGGGGACCCCUAGGGGGAGAUGCCUCAAGAAGGGCCCUGUCCUGUUGGAGGAAGGUGGAAGGUACUAUUGGGUGAAUCCUACAGGAUGUGGCCGGGCUACCACUGAGCCUCCAGAAGCAGGCCCAGCCCUAUAACUGGACCCCUGUAGGGGUGGCCAGGGAGGGCUGGCUGGGAACCCCCUGCAUCACCCAGCACACCCUCUCUGCCCACGUUAUGCUGGCAGGCCUGAGCCUGGUUCCUGCAGAUGAGGAAGCAGGGCAGUCAUGUCCUACGGCUCUGGUCUGCCUGGGCCUUGGCUGUCACCAACAGGGCCCCCUCAGGAAGCAGGCACUGCAGGGGGACCUGCCUGGGGCCAGACUCUGCACUGGCAGCUAGGAGGGAAGAGCCAUGGUCCUGGGCUUGGCGCUGUGUCCUUGUUUCAGCAUCCUUCUGACUCUUGGUGUUAACUUCGUGCCCUCAAGUGUGAGGUCCCCCUUGAACAUGUCCCAUGAGAGGAGCCAAUGGCAGGCCAUGGCCAGCAAGGGCCUCUCAUAACCAUGCCUGUGAGGGCUGCUUGCCCCAACCUGCUUGCUCUUCCUAAUCCAGCUUCUGAGGACAUGUGUGGUGGCCUCCUUGCCCUCGGUGGCUCUGCGUUAACCUCUGGGCCUGUGCAGGGCUAAUGACACCCUGGGCCAAGGGCUGGGCCGAGGCAUCUGGGGUCUUCUCACAUGGCACGGGAGGAAAUGGUGGCUCAGAGCCGAGGUGGCAAUGCGAGGGCUGAGGGCCGGGGCUGAACCCAGGCCUAUCCCCAGGGCUGCCUCGGACCCUUCCUGGUAACCACCGCCCACCUCUUCCACCUGAGACCUUUUUCCGCAGCUGGUGGCUUUCAGUGAAAGGAUCUUCUUGCUCAGUGUGGCCUUGACACUGGGAAAACUAAGUGAGGACGGGCCCCAGAGAGAUGGCUACGGCGAGCUCCCCACAAGCAUGGGCUGAUGGUUUAGACAUUAGGUGUGAGACAAUGCAAGAAGGUUCAGAGAAGAAAAGUUGGGUUAGGAGAGCCUUAACUCAGUCAGCGCAUUAAUCCCCUGAUGGGAUUGACUGAGUGGUAGCUGAGGGCAGGUGGCUGGGGGAGUGGGAACUGGGGGCGUGGUUUGGAGUACAUAUUUGUAUCUGGUGAGUGGAGAGCUCUCUCUCUGCUUCCUGAUUAUCACGUGAGCCACUUCCCUCCACCACACUCUCCGCCAUGAUGUCGGGCCUCACCUUAGGAAUGGAGCCGGUUGUCUGUGGACUGAGAUCUCUGAAACUGUGAGUCCCCAUAAACUUUUCCUCCUCUACAGCUGUGCUGGUUGGGUCCUUUAGUCACAGCAGCAAAAAAGCUGACUAGAACAGUGGGCCUCCCUCUCUUCAGCGCUGAGGGCCAGUGGGUGAGUCAGAAUGAGGCUCUUGGGGAGGAAAGGGUUUUUAAGGAUUAAAUUUAGGGGUGCAAGGGGACUUAGUAAAUCACCGGCAGCACAUGCCUCAGAACCCUGAGAGCUCUUCCUUACUUUCCAUAGAACUGGAGUUUGCAUGGUCGCUCAGUCGCUGCAAUGCUGAGGGGCCACCCUGGCCUGCUGUUGGCAGGUUCAGCUGCAGGUGAAGGGGAGCUGCCUCUCACGGGGGCCCAGCUGAUCCUCCCCCUCAUACCAGAUUACCAGAACAGACAUGGAGGACGUGGUGGGAGAGCUACAGGCUGCUCCACACAUCCUUCUGUGCCGGGGCCAGGUGCUGUGGGCUCCCAGCUAAAGCCCUCCCCAUGUGCCAGGCGCUGGCCAGCAGCACCCCAAGACUUCUCACAGGGACUUAUUCAGGGGCGCAUCCCUUUGCAGGCAGCCUUUCUGGAGGACAGGAUUGCUGGGCUCCCCAGGGCUUCAGCCCAGUCCCAACUCUGGGCCCUACUUUAGUUUGGGUUUUCUUAUCUUUGCUGUUGGACUGUUCUAAUUGGAACAGAACCCAAGAGAGCGGGCCUUCACUCCCCACCCGGGAAGAAGGAUUCUGUUGACUUCCUGUCUUUAUGACUUUUAUUUAUUGAUAGUUUUUUUUUUUUUUUUUUUUUUGAGAAACCAACACUGUUUUUUCUCAUAAGAAUUUUAUCUGUCCUACAAGGAUCCCCUUAGCAACCUGCGUGACUCCUUGGAUGUUGAUAAGCUGCCUCUGCCAUCACCCUGACGAUCAUUCUGCUGGGGUGGUCGCCUGGUGCCUGUUGUAUACCCAGCAUUGUUCUAGGGGCCGGUUGGUCCCUGGGAGGGAGGAGCCCAGGGACCUCCUGGUGGGUGGAGGAGGUGUGGGCAUUGUGGCACCAUGGAGGCC